rnacentral:rRNA from 1 species
AUUGAACGCUGGCGGCAGGCUUAACACAUGCAAGUCGAGCGAGCGGCGGACGGGUGAGUAAUGUCUGGGAAACUGCCUGAUGGAGGGGGAUAACUACUGGAAACGGUAGCUAAUACCGCAUACCAUCAGAUGUUCCCCGAUGGGAUUAGCUAGUAGGUGGGGUAAUGGCUCACCUAGGCGACGAUCCCUAGCUGGUCUGAGAGGAUGACCUGCCACACUGGACCGUAGACACGGUCCAGACGCCUACGCGAGGCAGCAGUGGGGAAUAGUGCACAAUGGGCGCAAGCAUGAUGCAGCCAUGCCGCGUGUGUGAAGAAGGCCGUCGGGUUCUAAAGAACGGUCAGCGGGGAGUCGUUACCCGCAGAAGAAGCACCGGCUAACUCCGUGCCAGCAGCCGCGGUAAUAC